GGACGUUAAAUAGAUAAGCUAUGCCUAGUUACGGUCUGGGAAGAGAGUCGUCUUCCA
rnacentral:tRNA from 1 species